ensembl:misc_RNA Gm25586 predicted gene, 25586
GGCUUGUCUAAAGAUAGUGAGUUAUAUCACCUGAUUGUUCACAGUCACUUACAGAUUGAAUUCCUAUUCUUUACAUUCCCUCCUUCUCACUACUCCAGUUGACUAGAGAUAG